AUUGAACGCUGGCGGCAGGCCUAACACAUGCAAGUCGAGCGAGCGGCGGACGGGUGAGUAAUGCCUGGGAAAUUGCCCAGUCGAGGGGGAUAACUACUGGAAACGGUAGCUAAUACCGCAUACCAUCAGAUGUGCCCAGAUGGGAUUAGCUUGUUGGUGGGGUAACGGCUCACCAAGGCGACGAUCCCUAGCUGGUCUGAGAGGAGGACCAGCAACACUGGAACUGAGACACGGUCCAGACUCCUACGGGAGGAAGCAGGGGGGAGUAUGGCACAAUGGGCGCAAGCCUGAUGCAGCCAUGCCGCGUGUAUGAAGAAGGCCUUCGGGUUGUAAAGUACUUUCAGCGGGGAGGCGUUACCCGCAGAGGAAGCACCGGCUAACUCCGUGCCAGCAGCCGCGGUAAUUC
rnacentral:rRNA from 1 species